UACGAAGGGGGCUAGCGUUGCUCGGAAUCACUGGGCGUAAAGCGCGCGUAGGCGGCUUUGUAAGUCAGAGGUGAAAUCCCGGGGCUCAACUCCGGAACUGCCUUUGAAACUGCAUCGCUUGAAUCCGGGAGAGGUUAGUGGAAUUCCGAGUGUAGAGGUGAAAUUCGUAGAUAUUCGGAAGAACACCAGUGGCGAAGGCGACUAACUGGACAUGUAUUGACGCUGAGGUGCGAAAGCGUGGGGAGCAAACAGG
rnacentral:rRNA from 1 species